rnacentral:rRNA from 1 species
UACGUAGGGGGCAAGCGUUGUCCGGAAUUAUUGGGCGUAAAGCGCGCGCAGGCGGCUUAUUAAGUCUGAUGUGAAAGCCCACGGCUCAACCGUGGAGGGCCAUUGGAAACUGGUAGGCUUGAGUGCAGGAGAGGAGAGCGGAAUUCCUGGUGUAGCGGUGAAAUGCGCAGAUAUCAGGAGGAACACCAAUGGCGAAAGCAGCUCGCUGGGACGGUACUGACGCUGAGACGCGAAAGCGUGGGGAGCAAACAGG